AGGACGAACGCUGGCGGCGUGCUUAACACAUGCAAGUCGAGCGGAAAGGCCCUUCGGGGUACUCGAGCGGCGAACGGGUGAGUAACACGUGGGCAACCUGCCCCUAGCUCUGGGAUAACUCCGGGAAACCGGGGCUAAUACCGGAUACGAUCUUCCAUGGCAUCUCGGAAGAUGGAAAGUUUUUCGGCUAGGGAUGGGCCCGCGGCCUAUCAGCUUGUUGGUGAGGUAACGGCCCACCAAGGCGACGACGGGUAG
rnacentral:rRNA from 1 species